rnacentral:rRNA from 1 species
GGCUGACGCAAGAUCAUUCAAAUACCUGCCCUAUCAAGUUUCGAUGUGAAGGUAGUGUCCUCACAUGCUUUUGACGGGUAACGGGGAAUUAGGGUUCGACUCCGGAGAGGGAGCCUGAGAAAUGGCUACCACAUCCAAGGAAGGCAGCAGGCGCGCAAAUUACCCAAUCCCGACAUGGGGAGGUAGUGACAAGAAAUACCGAUACAGGACUCUUUUGGGUCUUGUAAUUGGAAUGAGUACAAGUUAAACUUCUUAACAAGUAGCAACUGAAGGGCAAGUCUGGUGCCAGCAGCCGCGGUAACUCCAGCUUCAGGAGCAUAUAUUAAAUUUGUUGCAGUUAAAAAGCUCGUAGUUGAAACUUGGGCCUGGCUGGCUGGUCCGCCUCAUCGCGUGUACUGGUCUGGCUGGGUCUUUCCUCUUGGGGAGCCACAUGCCCUUCACUGGGUGUGCUGGGGAACCAGGACUUUUACUUUGAAAAAAUUAGAGUGUUCAAAGCAGGCAUAUGCCCGGAUACAUUAGCAUGGGAUAAUAGAAUAGGACGUGUGGUUCUAUUUUGUUGGUUUCUAGGACCACCGUAAUGAUUAAUAGGGAUAGUUGGGGGC